rfam:Arabis alpina cultivar Pajares chromosome 8, whole genome shotgun sequence.
UGGAUCUCGACAGGGUAGACAUGAGAACACAUGAGUAAUCGACGGCUGUAAUGACGCCACGUAUGUCAUUACUGCAUCUCUGUUUUCAUGUGUUCUCAGGUCACCCCUGCUGAGCUCUU